rnacentral:sRNA from 1 species
AUUUUGUAACAGAGGACCGAGCAGAGUAAUAACUAGUAGCUUAUUAUUAUUCCAAAAGAUAUGCUGGAGAACCAAAAGAAAUAUAUAAACGUCGGCUCCAAUGGCAAA